rnacentral:rRNA from 1 species
UACGUAGGGGGCUAGCGUUGUCCGGAAUCAUUGGGCGUAAAGAGCGUGUAGGCGGCCCGGUAAGUCCGCUGUGAAAGUCGGGGGCUCAACCCUCGAAUGCCGGUGGAUACUGUCGGGCUAGAGUGCGGAAGAGGCGAGUGGAAUUCCUGGUGUAGCGGUGGAAUGCGCAGAUAUCAGGAGGAACACCGAUUGCGAAGGCAGCUCGCUGGGACGUCACUGACGCUGAGACGCGAAAGCGUGGGGAGCAAACAGG